rnacentral:rRNA from 1 species
CCCUUAGAUGUUCUGGGCCGCACACGCGCUACACUGAAGGAGGCAGCGUGUACUCCUGGAUCGAAAGAUUUGGGUAACCCGCGAAUCUCCUUCGUGCUAGGGAUUGAGGUUUGCAAUUAUCCUUCAUGAACGAGGAAUUCCCAGUAAGUGCAAGUCAUAAGCUUGCGCUGACUACGUCCCUGCCCUUUGUACACACCGCCCGUCGCCACUACCGAUUGAAUGAUUUAGUGAGGACUUCGGACUGGGACCGAUGCGGCUUUCGGGCUGCGUCGGUAUUCUGGAAAGAUGUCCAAACUGUAUCAUUUAGAGGAAGUAAAAGUCGUAACA